ACGGUACAACGAGUCGCAAGCUCGCGAGAGUAAGCUAAUCUCUUAAAGCCGUUCUCAGUUCGGACUGUAGGCUGCAACUCGCCUACACGAAGUCGGAAUCGCUAGUAAUCGCGGAUCAGCAUGCCGCGGUGAAUACGUUCCCGGGUCUUGUACACACCGCCCGUCACACCAUGGAAGUUGGGGGUGCCCAAAGCCGGCAAGCAAAUAUGCUGUCUAAGGCAAAACCAAUGACUGGGGUGAAGUCGUAACAAGGUAGC
rnacentral:rRNA from 1 species